CUCUAGCCCCGAUAGGAACGGUUACCCCACAGCAUGGAGUUGGCUCCCGGGCCAGGCGCGAGGAGUAAAAGUGGAUAGCGGGAAACAGC
rnacentral:sRNA from 1 species